GACGAACGCUGGCGGCGUGCCUAAUACAUGCAAGUCGAGCGAGCGGCGGACGGGUGAGUAAUGUAUGGGGCCUUCCCGUUAGAGGGGGAUAACUACUGGAAACGGUAGCUUAUACCGCAUACUUUUGGAUAACCCAUAUGGGAUUAGCUAGUAGGUGAGGUAAUGGCUCACCGUGGCGACGAUCCCUAGCUGGUCUGAGAGGAUGAUCAGCCACACUGGGACUGAGACACGGCCCAGACUCCUACGGAGGCAGCAGUGGGGAAUAUUGCACAAUGGGCGCAAGCCUGAUGCAGCCAGGCCGCGUGUAUGAAGAAGGCCCUAGGGUUGUAAAGUACUUUCAGUCGGGAGGCGUUACCGACAGAAGAAGCACCGGCUAACUCCGUGCCAGCAGCCGCGGUAAUAC
rnacentral:rRNA from 1 species